rnacentral:rRNA from 1 species
CCUACGGGAGGCAGCAGUGGGGGAUAUUGCACAAUGGGGGAAACCCUGAUGCAGCGACGCCGCGUGUGGGAAGACGGUCCUCUGGAUUGUAAACCACUGUCCCCAGGGACGAAAAUGACGGUACCUGGGGAGGAAGCUCCGGCUAACUACGUGCCAGCAGCCGCGGUAAUACGUAGGGAGCGAGCGUUGUCCGGAAUUACUGGGUGUAAAGGGAGCGUAGGCGGGGAUGCAAGUUGGGUGUCAAAACUACCGGCUCAACUGGUAGUCGCACUCAAAACUGCAGCUCUUGAGUGAAGUAGAGGCAGGCGGAAUUCCUAGUGUAGCGGUGAAAUGCGUAGAUAGUAGGAGGAACACCAGUGGCGAAGGCGGCCUGCUGGGCUGCAACUGACGUUGAGGCCCGAAAGCGUGGGGAGCAAACAGGAUUAGAUACCCCGGUAGUC